UACCUAAAUCAUCAGUUCUAACGCCGGAC
rnacentral:piRNA from 1 species